GACGAACGCUGGCGGCGUGCCUAAUACAUGCAAGUAGAACGCAGUUGCGAACGGGUGAGUAACGCGUAGGUAACUGCCUCAUAGCGGGGGAUAACUAUUGGAAACGUUAGCUAAUACCGCAUACUGUGAGAUGGACCUGCGUUGUAUUAUCUAGUUGGUGAGGUAAAGGCUCACCAAGGCGACGAUACAGAGCCGGCCUGAGAGGGUGGUCGGCCACACUGGGACUUAGACACGGACCAAACUCCUACAGGAGGCAGGAGUAGGGGAUCGUCGGGAAUGGAAGGAAGGCUGAACGAGCAAAGCCGCGAGGGUGAAGAAGGUGUUCGGAUCGUAAAGCUCUGUUGUUAGAGAAGCGGUAACUAACGAGAAAGGGACGGCUAACUACGUGCCAGCAGCCGCGGUAAUUC
rnacentral:rRNA from 1 species